CCUACGGGAGGCUGCAGUGGGGAAUAUUGGGCAAUGGGCGAAAGCCUGACCCAGCAACGCCGCGUGAAGGAAGAAGGCCCUCGGGUUGUAAACUUCUUUUAUGAGGGACGAAGAAGUGACGGUACCUCAUGAAUAAGCCACGGCUAACUACGUGCCAGCAGCCGCGGUAAUACGUAGGUGGCAAGCGUUAUCCGGAUUUACUGGGUGUAAAGGGCGUGUAGGCGGGAUCGCAAGUCAGAUGUGAAAUUCCAGGGCUCAACCCUGGACCUGCAUUUGAAACUGUGAUUCUUGAGUGAUGGAGAGGCAGGCGGAAUUCCGUGUGUAGCGGUGAAAUGCGUAGAUAUACGGAGGAACACCAGUGGCGAAGGCGGCCUGCUGGACAUUAACUGACGCUGAGGCGCGAAAGCGUGGGGAGCAAACAGGAUUAGAUACCCUAGU
rnacentral:rRNA from 1 species